rnacentral:lncRNA from 1 species
UUAAAUAGUUGAAGUUAGCAUCUAGAUUAAUAAGUGAUCUGUUCUGAUGAUUCAAAGGAAGAGAUAUAUAUUAAUGGAUUCUUAAACGUUUUUUCUUUUUGUUGCCAAUGCUAUUAGCCUAUUACACUAUUACUUACUUCCAAUGCCACAUCAAAAAACAACCAAAAAAAAAACAAAAAAUGAAAAGAGAGGUUAUAAAUAUUCUAAAGCUUUCGUCAGUUUUGCUAUUUGAACUCAAUUGGAAUCCAAUAAGUCUUCGAGAAAAAAGGAGCUGCCCUUUUUCAAAAACUACCUGGU